rnacentral:rRNA from 1 species
GAACGCCCUUGGUUUCGACUGAGGGAGUGGCGGACGGGUGAGUAAGACGUGGGUUAUCUACCUUCAGGUGAGGGAUACCGGCGAGAAAUCGCCGACAAGCCCGCAUAGGCUUGGGUUGUGAGAACAAGCCAAGCAAAGUUCUUCGGGAUGCCUGAAGAUGAGCUUGCGCUCGAUUAGCUAGCUGGUGGGGUAAAAGCCUACCAGGGCGACGAUCGAUAGCUGGUCUGAGAGGACGAUCAGCCACACUGGGAUUGAGAACGGCCCAGACUCCUACGGGGGGCAGCAGUGAGGAAUUUUCGGCAAUGGUCGCAAGACUGACCGAGCAACGCCGCGUGCAGGAAGAAGGUUUUCGGAUCGUAAACUGCUUUUCUGUGGGAAGAGCAAGGACGGUACCACAGGAAGAAGCCCCGGCUAACUACGUG